UACGUAGGGGGCUAGCGUUGUCCGGAAUCAUUGGGCGUAAAGCGCGUGUAGGCGGCCCGAUAAGUCCGCUGUGAAAGUCCAGGGCUCAACCCUGGGAUGCCGGUGGAUACUGUCGGGCUCGAGUCCGGAAGAGGCGAGUGGAAUUCCUGGUGUAGCGGUGAAAUGCGCAGAUAUCAGGAGGAACACCAAUGGCGAAGGCAGCUCGCUGGGACGUGACUGACGCUGAGACGCGAAAGCGUGGGGGAGCAAACAGG
rnacentral:rRNA from 1 species